AUAGCGUAUAUUAAAGUUGUUGCAGUUAAAAAGCUCGUAGUCGAAUUUUGGCUCUGGUUGAGUGGUUUGGACUCACGUUCAACACUGCCCGAUUGGAGCUUUCCUUCUAGGGAACUAGUGUGCUAUUUAUUUAGUGCGUUAGGAAUCUAGGACUGUUACUUUGAAAAAAUUAGAGUGUUUAAAACAGGCUUAUGCUUGAAUACAUUAGCAUGGAAUAACGGAAUAGGACUUUGUUUUAUUUUGUUGGUUUAGAAAACGAAGUAAUGAUUAAUAGGGAUGGUUAGGGGCAUUAGUAUUCCACAGUCAGAGGUGAAAUUCUUGGAUUUGUGGAAGACUAACUUCUG
rnacentral:rRNA from 1 species